rnacentral:lncRNA from 1 species
CUUUCUGCUCGCCCACCAUGUACAGGCAAGCUGAUGCCCUCUGAGGGUUUCUGGAACAAAGAAGACAAGAAAAUGAACCUGGACUCUACCAGUCUGACCCAAUCAGCAGAGGACAAGGCCCAGUCCAUAUCUUGGUGUUAGCUUUUGGCACCAAGGGCCUCCCCUAUGGCAGGCAGCCUGCCUUCUCUUUUUGAGCAGGCCCUUCUACCUCCUCGAAUCACUGUCACAAAGGACUGUUUUCGUGGUGGGGGAGCCCCAAAUAUCUACUGGGGCAAGGCUUUAUAGAAAGCUACAAGCAAGGUAUCCAAUGGGUGACGGGACAGCGAUGAAAAUGUGUGGCUUCUCUGUCUUCAGCCUGCGUCUGUCUUAACCACCAGGCCAGGAUCUACUCAAUUCCACACGCAGACACGUUGACAAUCAAGAAUUUUUUCAUAUACUGUGAACUUGACCUAGCUUCUCUACUCCUUAUUCCAAUGCUAAAGAUACCUACCUGCAGCCGUGACUAGAGCGAGAAGGCCGCGAAAAGUGGUAGCAACCUAGUUCCUGGUUACUACUGCCAGUCCCAGGGAAGACCCGGAAGUCCCUCCCCUUUCUUAGCCCAUCUCUAUCCCUCAGGAUUCCUAUGCGCUAUCUGAACCGCCUCAACUCUCUUCUGUUCCUGAAGUUAGUUCAGGAGCAGAAGGUCCGCACCUCUGUUGUUGGGUCACUGGACAUAGCUCCUGUACCUGGACUCCCGGCAUAAGGACUUUGUUAGUCUUGGGUCUCUUAGACUUUUACAUGGAUGCUGCAGCUGCGUCUGUCGUUUCUUUUGCUGAGGAGAUGGCUAGGGUGAGGGAUCGGAGCAGUCCAAGUGUUGGGGUUUAUGGACUGAGAACUAAGUGACUAGAGGCCAAGUUCACAGUGGAGACUGACCACCACAUGUGAGUUUAUUUUGCCUCACCAGUUCAGGUCACAGUUCACGGUGGCCCCAUGGUGUCCACAGUCAGGAAGCAAAGAGAGAUGGAUGCUUGUGCUCAACCCAACCUCUCCUUUUUAUCCAGCCUUGGAUCACAGCCCACUUCAUGGCAAGUAGUGGUAGAACACAGGAUGUCAGCGCCAUCUUGUGACGGCGAAUGUGGGGGCGGCUCCCAACAUAAAGUGAGCUCCAGGACAGCCAGGGAUACACAGAAAAACCCUGUCUCAAAAAACCAAAACCAAAAACCAAAAACCAAAACCAAAACAAAAAACCCCAACAACAUCUGUGCGUGCAUGUGACCGGCACUGGUGUAGCUCUGACCUCCCUCCUUGAACACUCAGACCAGAUCUACCUGCCACUUAGAGGUCAGACAGGCAUCUAAUGUGGCAUAUUUGAACACUCAGCUCCAGUCUCUGCCUGGAGCCUUCUCCAUCUGCUGUGGACGAUCUCAUUCUCCUAGGUUUUCAAGGUCCACCAUCCUUGACACCUUUGCACCCUCUGGCUUUGCAGAGCUUGGCAGCAAGACUUCAACAGAUAUAUCUUCUAUAAAAUACUGGUCUCUUUCCUCAACCUGUCUGUCUUCUUGUUAUGCUAACAGUGGGAUCUGUACAGCUAUAUUCUUCUACUUGAAUAAAAAGAAGAGGCGAGAGAGGAUCUGGGGUGGAGCAACACUGGGUCAUCACCCAAGUGCCAGGCACAUGCAGCCACCCAGUUUUGGACUUUCAGCUUCUAGGACUGUAUCCCAUGGGAAUGCUCAUCUCUGCCUCUACUCCAGUGCUCAUCCACAGCCUGCAUAUCUUGGGGGAAGACUGACAGACUUUGAGACAACCUCCCACAGGCC